GCGGGCGUGGCGGAAUUGGUAGACGCGCAGGCUUUAGGUGCCUGUUUCUACGGAAGUGGGAGUUCGAGUCUCCCCGCCCGCACCA
rnacentral:tRNA from 1 species